rnacentral:lncRNA from 1 species
AUGGGAGAUGGAGAGCAUUUUGUUUUUAACACAGGAGAAUCAUUUCCCCCUUCCACCUGGAAGCAAGCGCUAAAUUGCUGCCUGCAGAGUUUCACCUGGGAGCUGAAUUACCCCCACUGGUUUUGUGCUGUCACCAAGGCUACAAAUGAGCCACAGGUGGGGUGGCUGGGGUCUCGCAGCGGCUCUCAUGCAGCAGGUUCUGUCUCCCCUCCCUGCAAGAAGAGGACACUGAACAAGAGCAACUCCUUCUUCUCCCCCAGCAAGCAAUGGCAGAUGCAUAAUCCCAGCUGCAUGCUUGGACGUGAGAAAUGCAGGACAUGCUCUACUACCUACCCGUAUGGGGGAAAUGAAAUCCUACUCCUGAAGGUUUUUAUGGAUAACCUCUUCUGAGCAGGAUCGGGAUUUCAACCUCCAAAUUCCUUUGAUAUUGUUCCAGCUGGAGCAUGCUGCAAGGUAGCCCACCACUGUUUUUUUAAGCAGUGUGCAAAUCAAUAAGGCCAUGAGUUUGAGCAUUAUUAUGCAAUGGAUUUGGAGAGAGAAUCUGCAAUGUAUUUCUUCCAGUCAAGAGCUCUUUAACCUUUCUGCACAGCUAUAGGUGAUACGAUAACCUCAGCUGACAUGCUUUAUUCUCUGCUUCAUGAGAAAGAGCUUAACGAAAAUGUACGCACCUGUAAUCAAUUUGUUAGUACUACUUAUGAUUAUUCUGUUUACAUUAAAAAUCUAAACAGCCACCAUCUAUGUGUUUUUUAAUAAAGUGUUUGUACCCA